GACACGUCUUUGCACUGCUUGCUGCUCUUGGGGUUGAAGUCACACAGCUGGGCCACCUUCUCCCACUCUGUGCCUGGGGUCUCCUCCUUGGAUUCCUUCACAAAAGCCUCCUCAGAUGCCCUGCAGGUGGAGAUAGGACAGAGCACACCUCUGAACUCC